ACGAUGUCUGCUCCUAACAGAUGGCUAAAUCACUAGUUAACUAUUUUCAUCAUGGAAGUUAUACAGCUCAUGUAUCACACUUAAUAUUGAAUAUAUAUAUAAAAAGGGUUUUCCAAAAGGACCAUUUAUAAUCGAAAUACACAACUUCACACACGAUUUUGAGCACAACAGAGCGCUCAGUGAACAUCACUUCCGGGACCUGCAUCACCGGAGGGGGACAUCUAUCUUGGCCACAAACAAUCUUUGACAGUCUUCGACAGCAUGGUUGAAUCAGGUGCAUCAACACAUGAUGUAGACAUCGUAUCCAAAAGAAGAGCGAGACGUAAUCCUGAGGCUGAAGCCACCGAGUUUAUUUGAUCUGGAUGUGACAAGUCUUGUUUUAAGGCCCAGUGGAUCAAUGAUUGGAAAGACACCAACUGUUGGGGUUCUAUCUCAACAUUCUCCAGAUUCAGAUGUGAGCGAUAAACCGACUUCAUCCCUCCAACAGAAACCAACUGUUGAGGUUCCAUCUCAACAUUCUCCAGAUUCAGAUGUGAGCCAUUAACUGACUUCAUCCCUCCAACAGAAACCAACUGUUGAGGUUCUAUCUCAACAUUCUCUAGAUUCAGAUGACAGCCAUAAACCGACUUCAUCCCUCCAACAGAUUGACAGCAGGACAAAUCGCUGGAAGUGGGUAUGUCUCAAGCUUCUUCCACUUGGUCCACUCCAAAGCGGGGUGCAAAGGGGAAGAAGUGGAAGCAGUUGAAUGACACAUGUUGCAUUUUGUAACUGGCAACAAAGUACCAGGUAAAAAAGAUUGUGAAGCCUGCCUCCAUAAAGAACUAGUAGCUCUACAGGACAGAGAUUGGCUUGCCAUCAAGUACUACAUCCAUAACAGAAUUAUAUUAAAAAAAGGGAAAAAAAAUGUUUUCCCACAUCUUCUGUGGUAGUUUGAGUAUGUUACCAGCAAUUAAAAAAGCAAAAUAAAAA